GAUGAACGCUGGCGGCGUGCCUAAUACAUGCAAGUCGAGCGAACAGGUCAGGAGCUUGCUCCUUUGACGUUAGCGGCGGACGUGUGAGUAACACGUGUGUAAUGUACCUAUAAGACUGGGAUAACUACGGGAAACCGGAGCUAAUACCGUAUAAGAUUCUGAAGCGCGUGGUUCUAUAGUGAGAGAUGGUUGUUCGAGCUCGUAUAGAGGGACACGGGCCGUAUUAGCUAGUUGGUAAGUUAACGGCUUACUAAGGCAACGAUACGUAGCCGACGGGAGAGAGUGAUCGGCCACAUGGGAGCUGAGACGCGGACAUGAGGACUAAGGGAGGCAGCAGUAGGGAACCUGACGCAAUGGGGGAAAGCCUGACAGAGCGACGCGGAGUGAGAGAUGGAGAGUUUCGGUGCGGGAAACUGUGUUAUUAGGGAAGAACCAACGUGGAAGUAACUGUAGAGGGAUUGACGGUAACGAAUCAGAAAGCAACGGCUAACUACGUG
rnacentral:rRNA from 1 species